CCUACGGGAGGCAGCAGUGGGGAAUAUUGGGCAAUGGGCGCAAGCCUGACCCAGCAACGCCGCGUGAAGGAGGAAGGCUUUCGGGUUGUAAACUUCUUUUCUGAGGGACGAAGAAAGUGACGGUACCUCAGAAAUAAGCCACGGCUAACUACGUGCCAGCAGCCGCGGUAAUACGUGGGUGGCAAGCUUAAGCCGGAUUUAUUGGGUGUAAAGGGCGUGUAGGCGGGAAAGCAAGUCAGAUGUGAAAACUAAGGGCUCAACCCUGAGCCUGCAUUUGAAACUGUUUUCCUUGAGUGCUGGAGAGGCAAUCGGAAUUCCGUGUGUAGCGGUGAAAUGCGUAGAUAUACGGAGGAACACCAGUGGCGAAGGCGGAUUGCUGGACAGUAACUGACGCUGAGGCGCGAAAGCGUGGGGAGCAAACAGGAUUAGAUACCCGAGUAGUC
rnacentral:rRNA from 1 species